rnacentral:rRNA from 1 species
GAUGAACGCUGGCGGCGUGCCUAAUACAUGCAAGUCGAGCGAACAGACGAGGAGCUUGCUCCUCUGACGUUAGCGGCGGACGGGUGAGUAACACGUGGAUAACCUACCUAUAAGACUGGGAUAACUUCGGGAAACAGGAGCUAAUACCGGAUAAUAUAUUGAACCGCAUGGUUCAAUAGUGAAAGACGGUUUUGCUGUCACUUAUAGAUGGAUCCGCGCCGCAUUAGCUAGUUGGUAAGGUAACGGCUUACCAAGGCAACGAUGCGUAACCGACCUGAGAGGGUGAGCCGCCACACUGGAACUGAGACACGGUCCAGACUCCUACGGGAGGCAGCAGUAGGGAAUCUUCCGCAAUGGGCGAAAGCCUGACGGAGCAACGCCGCGUGAGUGAUGAAGGUCUUCGGAUCGUAAAACUCUGUUAUUAGGGAAGAACAAAUGUGUAAGUAACUAUGCACGUCUUGACGGUACCUAAUCAGAAAGCCACGGCUAACUACGUGCCAGCCGCCGCCGUAA